CGAACUCCAGAGAGGGCGGGAUAUGCGAAACCUCAAUUCACAGUCACUAAAGGGAGCGGUCGAGUCAGUAUAAACGCUAUUACAAUAGAGAGACUUGGCCUAGACUCAAAUCCCUUGGGAAGGAUAGAUGCAUUUGCUCUUUCGACACAUAUCUGCAUGUGAGUUUGUCCUGUCUUGUGUAUCUGUUUGGUUGCCCAUCUCUGCCCACGUGUCGGGAGUGUGGUUGCCUUCCAGUUUGCUGUACGCUUGUUCUGCGCUCACGAAUCAUCAACGGAGGAUUCCUCAUCUCUGCCCGUGUGUCGGGAAAGUGAUUGCCUUCCUGUCUGCUGUGCGCUGUCAUAUGCGCCUCACUAUGUUUCAAUGGAGGCUCCUGACUUCCACGAUGCACACACUCGCCUAUGAACACACUAUUCAUGGAUUUGGCCAUUGUGCGGCCACAGCGUGCGCAUCCACAAACUUCGCACUACUGCAGCAGGUGCCGGGAUCAUCGGUCUUCGCCAGCACAGUUGAAAUUCAUGAACAGAUGCAUUCGGACUCGACUCGGACUCGGCCUGUUAUGGACUCGGUCUUGAGUCCGACUCGGCCCCUUUUGGACUCGGACUCAACUCAGAUUCGAUUGUUUGAAGACUCGGACUUGACUCGGACUCGACUAAGGUGGACUCGAACCCAACACUAGUGUCCACACAAGUCGAACCACUGUGCUUCAUGCACUUCCUGUGCUGCUGAGAGAAGACGCCUCAAGAUUCUUCAAAACAUGCGGGGGCUGAAGAUUCAGAAGAGCCAAAUGUUGGAUAUUCACCAGAUGCCCUGUUAACAGCGGUCAGAGAACUCAUAGAUGCUGCAGUUCACUACAAUCUGGUCAAAAAUGUAAUUGUUCUUGAAAGUGAAGUCAUCACCCACCUGCCCAGGCUUUUCAGAUUUCUUUUUACAUUUGGACUGAUUUAUGCAUUGGAUCUGAAUUACCCCAAAUUGUUUUAAAGACAGGUGGCUUUAUAAGCUUUUAAUGUUGAAGAAUGUGCAACACUAAUGCAGCUGUAGACAGUUUAUCCUGUCGCUGUGAAAUGUGUGUUUUUUGUUUUUUCAGUGUUGUGCCUCAUGUUUUGUCAAUAAUUGUACCUUGUCUUUUUAUAGUAAAUAUGUUUACUACAUGCAGUUUGCUUAUUUUAUUUUAUUUUAUUUACGUUUAAGUUGCAGAAUUGUCCACAUUUAAGUUGACGAAACUUUAAAAAAAAUAAAAAAUAAAUAAAUACAAAUUAAGUAACACUACUAGCACAU